GAACCCCGUUCUCUGAGAUGCACCUGACAGAGACCACAGGUGGGGAUCAGUAGCCAAGCAAAUAGAACAGGCCCGUGCUAGGAGGAAUGGGAAUGUAAUGGCGACCUGUGAGGCAGUGUGACUAGUGGGGCAAGGCUCAUGUUCCAGGUGUGUGGCAGAGCCUGGGGAUAAGGGUUGGUUCUUGGAAUAGCAGAAAAGUAGGCUAGAAAGGUGAGCCAGGGCAUCCUUAGGUGCAGGACAGGGAAGCUGGACAGUCGUCAUUCUUUAAGAAUGGCUGCUGAGGGUCGCAAAGCCGGGGUUCGGAAGGAUCUGCAGUGUGUCUGGGAAGGUGUCUAGCAUAACUGCGUCUCUGAGUUGUGUGAUAUUCUUAACACUGGCACCUGCUUGCUCCAUGCCAGGUCUGGCCUGCAUGGAAGAUACCACCAGUACAAGCCUUUGUCCACCCUCAAGAUGCUCCUGGCCCAGCUGGGAAGAUGUGUGUUGAAGUCCAGGAUGGUCAUUGACACCCUCCUGAGACAGGUGUUCCUCACCUGGAAGAUGAUGUGGAGGUGCCCGAGCUGCUGUCCCAGGCCUGGCCCCAUUUCUGGAUCGCCUCACCCCACUUGUCUGCCGGCUGUGACUCACAAUGCCUCCUGGCCAGGCCUCCUAGGGUGGAAGAGGCGCCGACAGUGAAGUGUGUUCAGUCAGACAGGGUUUCUGUGUUAGUCCUGGCUGUCCUGGAACUAGCUAUGUCUGCCAGGAUGUCCUCCAUCUCAGAUCCACUUGCUUCUGCCUCAGAGUGCUGGGAUCAAAGGUAUGCACCAACAUGCCUGAUCUUCCGGCUUACGUUUUUGAGUCAGGGUCGCUCACUGAACCUAGAGCUCAGAGUCGGCUCCGCUGGCUGGCCAGUAAGCACUAGGGAUCUUCUCAUCGCUCCUUCCACCUCUGCCAGGGAAGUGUCUUCUGGGAGUUGUAAUAACUCCAAGGGUGAAUGUCCGGAAGCUCCCAGAGAUGGUGUCCAUGAACCAGGCGGGGAUGGGGUACCACGCAGCUUCUGGCCAACUGUGAGAAGUGUGUGUUGAAUUAAUGGAGGUGAUGGCAGAGGGAUCCUGUUCCUUCUCUUCCUUUCUCAGGUUCCAGAUCUAUGCUCUGUUUUGUGUGUAGGGGUGUGUGGAGCCAUAGAAUGGCUGUUUGACUCCUGCCUGCUUGGAAUCAAUGAUGCACAUUGUGCCUUGCAUGGUACAGUGAGUUUCCAUCCCUGGACCGCAGGUUCUGCUUUGAGCUUUGUAGAGGUUUGUUCAACCGUUUAGAUUUGGCAAGUAUGCGAAUGAGAACUUGCCUCCCACUUACCUGAGAUCUGUCCUCCCGCUUUUUAGAAUUUCCUUGAGAAUGUCCUGCUUUGCGAUUUUCACUGAAACUAGUUCCUCCCCCCAAGUUGCCCAUUCUUACUCUUUCUAAGCUGUAACCUAAAGAACAAUAAACCGAGACUUGAUCAGA